rnacentral:rRNA from 1 species
UACGUAGGGUCCGAGCGUUUGUCCGGAAUUAUUGGGCGUAAAGGGCUCGUAGGCGGUUUGUCGCGUCGGGAGUGAAAACCUACAGCUUAACUGUGGGCUUGCUUUCGAUACGGGCAGACUUGAGGCAUGCAGGGGAGAACGGAAUUCCUGGUGUAGCGGUGAAAUGCGCAGAUAUCAGGAGGAACACCGGUGGCGAAGGCGGUUCUCUGGGCAUGUUCUGACGCUGAGGAGCGAAAGUGUGGGGGAGCGAACAGG